GAUGGAAUCCCAUGUCCGAAUGCUUCUCUUGAGUUGAUGGAUGUUCCAAUUAUUGAUCUUGGUCUCCUCAUCCCUUCCUCAAUCAGUGUGGAAGAACUUGACAAACUCAGAUCAGCUCUUACCGCGCGGUUGCUUUCAGGUAAUAAACCAUGGAAUGACUCUUGAAUUCCUUGACAAAGCCCGUGAAAUCACCAAGCAGUUUUUCGCAAUGCCAGUGGAAGAGAAGCAGAAAUAUUUGAGGCCAGUUGAUGAUUUUGAAGGAUAUGGGAAUGACAUGGUUGUUUCAGAGCAGGAAACACUUGAUUGGACUGACAGACUAUACCUUACUGCAUAUCCACCAGACCAGCGCAAGCUCAAGUUGUGGCCUGAAAAUCCCAAAUCUUUCAGGGAUACUCUAGACCAAUAUACCAGUAAGUUACAGGUGAUAACAGAAACAGUCCUUAAGGGCAUGGCGCGGUCAUUGAAUUUGGAGGAAGAUUGCUUUCUGAACAAGUAUGGAGAACAAAGGAAAAAGGAUGCUAGGUUCAACUUCUAUCUUCCAUGUUCUAGGCCUGAUCGCGUACUCGGUACCAAGCCACAUGCAGAUGGAACAUUAAUAACCCUUCUGUUGCAAGAUAAAGAAGUGGAAGGUCUUCAAUUUAUGAAAGAUGACCAAUGGUAUAGGGCUCCCAUUGUUCCGGAGGCGCUUCUCAUUAAUGUUGGUGAUCAAGCUGAGGUAACUAAAGCUUCAAAUGUAUAUUGAGUGAGCAAUGGACUGUUCAAGAGUCCAGUGCACAAGGUUCUAACAAAUGCAGAAAAGGAGAGGAUAUCCUUGGCUGUGUCCUGUGUCCCCGAUUCAGAGACAGAGAUUGAACCCUUUGAAAGCCUCAUCAAUGAGUCAAGUCCAAGGUUGUACAAAAAGCUGAAGAACUACGUUGGCAUCUAUUUCGAGUACUACCAGCAGGGAAGAAGACCAAUUGAAGCAGCAAUAAUAUAA